rnacentral:rRNA from 1 species
UAGAUACCCUAUUAUUUUAAAUGUAAAUUUUUUAAUUUAUGGUAUUAUUAGUUAUGAUCUUUAAAAUUAAAAGAAUUUGACGGUAAUUUGAUCAUUUCAGAGGAACCUGUUCUUUAAUUGAUGAUCCACGAUAAAUUUAACCUUAAUUUAUUGUUUGUAUAUCUCUGUCUAUUGAAUGUUUUAAGAGAAUUAAUUUUCUAUUUAUUCUGUUACAUUAUUGAGAAUUUAUGUCAGGUCAAGGUGCAACUAUAUUAAGGGUUGAAAUGGGUUACAUUUAUUAAUUAUAUAAAUUUUGGAUUAAUUGAUGUAUUUUCUUUUAUGAAAUUGGAUUUGAUAGUAAUGUUUAUUAUA